GUCUCUGUAGCGCUAUGACUAGCGCGUUGGAGUUCUAAUCCAAUGGUAGUGGGUUAGAAACCCACCUGGGCUGGCA